rnacentral:rRNA from 1 species
GAUGAACGCUGGCGGCGUGCCUAAUACAUGCAAGUCGAGCGGACGGACGAGAAGCUUGCUUUUCUGAUGUUAGCGGCGGACGGGUGAGUAACACGUGGAUAACCUACCUAUAAGACUGGGAUAACUUCGGGAAACCGGAGCUAAUACCGGAUAAUAUUUUGAACCGCAUGGUUCAAAAGUGAAAGACGGUCUUGCUGUCACUUAUAGAUGGAUCCGCGCUGCAUUAGCUAGUUGGUAAGGUAACGGCUUACCAAGGCAACGAUGCAUAGCCGACCUGAGAGGGUGAUCGGCCACACUGGAACUGAGACACGGUCCAGACUCCUACGGGAGGCAGCAGUAGGGAAUCUUCCGCAAUGGGCGAAAGCCUGACGGAGCAACGCCGCGUGAGUGAUGAAGGUCUUCGGAUCGUAAAACUCUGUUAUUAGGGAAGAACAUAUGUGUAAGUAACUGUGCACAUCUUGACGGUACCUAAUCAGAAAGCCACGGCUAACUACGUG